rnacentral:rRNA from 1 species
AACGAACGCUGGCGGCAGGCUUAACACAUGCAAGUCGAGCGGACCUAGCAAUAGGUUAGUGGCGAACGGGUGAGUAAUACAUGAGCAACCUGCCUCAAACAGGGGGAUAACACCGGGAAGCUGGUGCUAAUACCGCAUAAGACCACAGCGCGGCAUCGCGCAGGGGCAAAAACGAUUCAGUGGUUUGAGAUGGGCUCAUGUCCCAUUAGCUAGUUGUGGAGAUAACAGCCCACCAAGGCGACGAUGGUUAGCCGACCUGAGAGGGUGAUCGGCCACAUUGGGACUGAGACACGGCCCAGGCUCCUACGGGAGGCAGCAGUGGGGAAUAUUGGGCAAUGGGCGAAAGCCUUACCCAGCAAUGCCGCGUGAGUGAAGAAGGUCUUCGGAUUGUAAAGCUCUUUGAUCAGGGACGAACACAAUGACGGUACCUGAAGAACAAGCCCCGGCUAACUACGUGCCAGCAGCCGCGGUAAAAC